AGUAAUCACAGGUCAGCAUACUGUGGUGAAUACGUUCCCGGGCCUUGUACACACCGCCCGUCACACCNUGAGAGUUGAGAAUACCCGAAGCCCAUGUCAAAGUGGUCGAAGGUAGGCUUGAUGAUUGGGGUGAAGUCGUAACAAGGUAUC
rnacentral:rRNA from 1 species